AACCUGGUUGAUCCUGCCAGUAGUCAUAUGCUUGUCUCAAAGAUUAAGCCAUGCAUGUCUUAGUGUAAAUAACUCUUAUGAAACUGCGAAUGGCUCAUUAAAUCAGUUAUCGUUUAUUUGAUGGUCCCUUACUACAUGGAUAACCGUAGUAAUUCUAGAGCUAAUACAUGCACAAAGGCCCGACUCACGGAGGGCUGUAUUUAUUAGACUCAAAGCCGACCUUGUUUUGGUGAUUCAUAAUAACUUUUCGAACCUCAUGCCUUUAUGGUGGAGGUGAUUCAUUCAAAUUUCUGCCCUAUCAACUUUCGAUGGUAGGAUAGAGGCCU
rnacentral:rRNA from 1 species